rnacentral:rRNA from 1 species
CUACGGGGUGCUCCAGUGAGGAAUAUUGCGCAAUGGGCGAAAGCCUGACGCAGCGACGCCGCGUGAAGGAUGAAGGUCUUCGGAUUGUAAACUUCUGUUAAGUGGAAAGAAAGACUUGCUUUUAAUAGAAGCAAGGGAUGACGGUACCAUUAGAGAAAGCACCGGCUAACUUCGUGCCAGCAGCCGCGGUAAUACGAAGGGUGCAAGCGUUAUUCGGAAUCAUUGGGCGUAAAGGGUGCGUAGGCGGCCUUUCAAGUCUGUUGUUAAAUACCUCGGCCUAACCGAGGAUCUGCAGUGGAGACUGAUUGGCUAGAGUAUGGAAGAGAGAAGUAGAAUUCUCGGAGUAGCGGUAAAAUGCGUAGAUAUCGAGAGGAAUACCAAUGGCGAAGGCAGCUUCUUGGUCCAUAACUGACGCUGAGGCACGAAAGCGUGGGGAGCAAACAGGAUUAGAUACCCCCGUAGUC